rnacentral:rRNA from 1 species
UGGGGGAAUAUUGCACAAUGGGCGCAAGCCUGAUGCAGCGACGCCGCGUGCGGGAUGGAGGCCUUCGGGUUGUAAACCGCUUUUGUUCAAGGGCAAGGCAGGCUUUCGGGCCUGUUGAGUGGAUUGUUCGAAUAAGCACCGGCUAACUACGUGCC